GGGGGUAUAGCUCAGCUGGGAGAGCGCUUGCAUGGCAUGCAAGAGGCCGUGGGUUCAAGUCCCAUUAUCUCCA
rnacentral:tRNA from 1 species